rnacentral:misc_RNA from 1 species
GAUGAAGAACGUAGCGAAAUGCGAUAAGUAAUGUGAAUUGCAGAAUUCAGUGAAUCAUCGAAUCUUUGAACGCACAUUGCGCCCCUUGGUAUUCCGAGGGGCAUGCCUAUUCGAGCGUCAUUAUCACCCCUCAAGCUCCGGCUUGGUGUUGAGGCCUGCUGUAAAGGCACCCUCUAAAAUCAGUGGCAGUGCUGUCAGGCUCUAAGCGUAGUAAUUCUCUCGCUACAGGGUCCCGGUGGACACUCGCCAGAACCCCCCCAUUUUUUAAUGAUUGACCUCGGAUUAGGUAGGGAUACCCGCUGAACUUAAGCAUAUCAAUAAGCGGAGGA